CCUCGGUCCACGAGGUGCUCAGCCGGCCGGUGCUGCAACACUCUUCCUUGCUCAGUUCUGUCUUAUACAGGACCUGGCAGCGGCCGUUCUUGGCUUGGCGGAGCCAGCAAUUCCCAGCUGUGAAGAGACGGGGAUCAGGAGCGACUGGAAGAACAGAUUAAAGAACCUGACAAAAACAGGAUGCGACGGAUGUUUUUACAUGUUGGUUUCAUGUAGGCGGUAAGAGAAUUUUUUGUGACAGGGGUUAAGAAAGUAAGAGAGGGGGGGACGUGGAAAGGAGGGAAGGAGGGAGCGAAGGAGAGGAGGGGGGAGGGAGAAUGAAUAUGAAUCUGCAGGAACAGAUCAGGCAAAAAGAAAUUUGUGAAAAAUGAAAGCAAAAAAAAAAAAAAAAAUGCAGUCGGGCCCAGCCUGGAUCUGCCUUGAGCAGCCUCGAGGCGCAGCCCGCCCGACGGGCCCGUUUUGCAAUCCGCCAGCUCGGAGCACGCCCGCAGCCACCACGGUCUUUCGAAAUCUCCGAGGGCUGCUUUCCCUGGCGCCCACGUCCGGGCACCCAGGGCAGCGCCCCUAUCAGAAAGGCGGGUUGCCCAGCCUAGUGUCGGGCAGACGGCUAGGGCCGGUGCCCGGGAGGGCAGCGUACAACACACAAAACCUUACCGCUCCAACAGGCAACGCAGCAGUGUUAGAGCUGGGUCACACAUACCUACCUCAUGUCUACCAAGAACCACUUUACAGAUAGUUUCUUCCCCUGUCCCUUUUUAUGUCUUCGGACUUUGGACAAGCAGACUUCUCAUGAAUCACCAAAGUGACUCGAGCAAUUGGAGCGCAAGCUGCGCGGUUACCAUUAUUAAAAAAAAAUCCCGCCUGGAGACUAAUUGUAAUAAAAUAAAUCCAUUUUUAAUUUUAGAUGAUAAACUUCAGAAAUUUGCUCUUUAAUCCAGGUCGGAGUCUAAAUAGCCCGUGGGUUGCUUGUUUCACAGAAGUUAACAGGAAUGAGGCAAAGUGGAGAAAACUGUAAAGUACUUAAAAACACUUCGGGCUAAUAAUUUGGUUUGUUCUUUCUUCUUUUUCGCGGGGCUUGGGGGAGAGGGGUAGAAGGAGCAUCUGCUAAGCGUAAAACUACCUCCCUCUAAAAAUUUCAGUACCCACAUUUCCAAGUUUGGGCAAAGUUUCUGAAACCACGUCCCCCAAGCCACCCAAGAAAAUUCGGUAUCUCCCAUCCCCCACUCCGUCAUUAAAAAAAAAAAAAGUCACCAAAAGAUAUGGAAGGAAGAUGGGUAGACUGCUUAGUAGGUCGACUGCACUCUCCAAGCUAUGGAUGCUCGCUCUUCUCCCGAGCCAGCCAGGGGAGAUAACAUCUGAAGUCAUUAGGACCAGAACUUGGAGCAUCUACCCCUAACUACUGAGGCUCCAGUUCCCCCACUCGAGCCCUCUCUUUUUUGAGGAUAACCUGGCUCUAAACUCCUCUCUCUAUCCCAAAGUGUCACCGCCUUCAGUCUUUUCCUCCCGUUCCUUUCUCCAGGAGUAGCCGGGUGGUUCCAACAUCUUCCUAGAGCCGCGUCGGUCCCAACCGACCAAGUGGAGACGACAGAAAAGUAGAACCCCUGCCCGAGCCGAACCUCUGGGCGCAUCCCCUCCACUCACCCUGGGCGCUGCGGUCUUCCAUGAAUUGGCAGAGUAGCAGCAGCAGGAGGCAGAGCCCGCCGGGCUGGUGCCUGGCGCAGACCAUCCUGGGGCAGGCGCGGGGCGAGGAGCGCGGCGGCGGGUGGCUUGGGCGAGCGGCGCGCGUCGCAGAGGCGAGCGGCGGAGGGCGCAGCGAUCCCGGCGCAGCCCCGCGCUCGCCACCGGCCGCCCGCGCGAUUCAAUGGACGUCAGAAGCCGGGCGCAGCCGCGCUUUAAAUCUAGACGGGGGUCUCCGAGGUUUGCGGUGGGCGGUCUCCCAGUGUGUGGGGCUGUGGGAGGGCGGCGGCGACCGAGGGUGUGCCGGCUCUUUGGGGGUGGGGAGCUUUUAAAAGUUCAGUGUGAAUCAGGUGACAUUUCCCACCUUCUGGAAACCCUUCCCAAUUAUCUGUCGGAGGUGCCCGAAAUCAAA